AAACUGAGGCUGCCCUAGCAUCACCAGAAGGGAGAGAUGAGGAGGAGAGGGAAAGCAAAAGACAAGCAUGGAGACAGAGGCCACUGGAACACUGGCCGAAAUGGAUGUGGAACUGUGCUGUUCAAUUUUUUUUGUUGAGAUGAAGAAGGUGAAUCAGCGUCAGUCUGCUUGCAGGAGAAUAUUCUGUGAGGAACUUUGCCCGCAACGUGCAAAGUCUUGAAGCAACACCGUCAUCGCCAGCUGAGUCUGAUCGCCGCUUCAUGUUGAACAUACUUUUAUACAGCAUAAAGUCAUGUUUGAAUAAAGGUUAUAAUAAAGAUA